AAAAAAGGCAUCAACACAAACGCCUGAAACUUCAAGAGCAUCCCAGAUUCCAGACCACAACACAGCAGGAUUCAAACACCUUUCCCAUGGGAUUAAAGAGCCACCUCGGAGCAGUAUGACUGUCCUAUGGAAUAGUGUGAUUGUGCAGUGCCUUUCGUAGACUGGACAAACCUCUGAGAAGAUCCCAGCUAUCUCAAGUUUAAUUGUGUAUGGAGUCAGUCGAGUUGACAGGUCUCCAGGGUAUUUCCACUGGCACGAGCGAGGUGAAUGACAGUCUUUGCAAGUCCACCUGUGAGUGUUUCUGAAGAGAGAAUGGAUGAGGGGUGGGUGGUCACUGCACUACUCGGUUUGUGUAGAUGAGCGCUUGUGUGCGUCUUGGCGAGCCAGCUCCCAUGCUUGGUAAAAAUCACCAAAUUUUUCACUUGAGUGGCUCUCUUUGGGCAGCCCCCUCCCAGCGACCCCUUCAGAGUAAAAUUCCUCUAGUGAGUGUUAGGACUGCACUCACAUUGCCCCCCCCACUCCCCCUGCACACACCAAGGAGCAUUGAAAAUGCAUUAACACCAAAUCAAUGGAAAACAGGGGAAAAAAGGCAAAAAGAGAGAGGAGGAAAAAAAUCUCCUUAGCAACAUAAUCUAGAUGGCCUCAUGAAAGGAGAGGGGUAAGUGAAAAGGGGGCAAGAAGGAGGGAAACGUGGAACGAGAAAGGGGGUGGCUGAGCAUUUAGUGCAGAAUAAGAGACUGAACGCUGAGAGGUCUUGGACACAGACAGCUACAAAAUAGAGAAUUAACACAAGAGAAACUGUUCCCAUUUACCACCAGGGCAAAAGCGACUAU